GAAUCAGCAUUACACUUUUUGCAGUUCGAUUUUACACCACCGACUAGUUUCAACCCUCGAACUGAAAAAAGUGUAAAAGGCGAACUGCAAAAAGUGUAAAAGUUACAUCUUUUCCAGUUCAGGGUUCCGAACUGCAAAAAGUGUAACUUUUGGACUUAGAAAAAUUUUGAAGAAUUUGCGGAAUCAUUUCACCCGCUGUCAAAUCGGGACUUAGUGAAAUUUGGAUGCUGGUAGCAAGAGGUGUUGCAGGUAAGUUCUGCUCGGAUUUGUGAACAGCUGCCGGAAAAGGCAAGAUUCCGGUUCUCUCAAACUGGAUAACCAACAAUACCAGGCCAGCGAAUAAUGUUGUGGCCGAAUUCGGUUGAAUUCUUGGUUCUCCAGUCUGGGGGAAGCGAAAUUCUACCUUCUGGUAGGAAACGGCUAAAAUCUGACGGCUGCGGUUGGAAAAGGCAAGACUCCGGUUCCUUCAGACGGGGAAACCAAGAAUCACGGAGAGGUGAAUAUAUUUGUGGCUGGAUUCUAUUGAUUUUUUGGCUCUUCGGUCUGGGGGAGGCAAAUUUUGACCUUCCGGCCGGAAUUCAAGGAAAUUUAUCGUCAGCGCCCGGAAAAAAACAAGGUUCCGGUUCCCCCAGACCGGAUAUCCAAGAUCACGAUUGUAUAUUUGGUUCUUCGUUCUGGGGUAGCAAGUUUUUACCUUCCGGCCGCAAAUUUUUCGUCAGCGCCCGGAAAAAAACAAGAUUCCAGUUCCCCAAACCGGAUAUCCAAAAAUAACGGGCGGGUAGUUAAUUUUAUGGUAGGAUUCGAUUGAUUUUAUGGUUCAUGGGUCUGGGGGAACCAAAUUUGCCUUAAUAUCGACCGGAAGGCAGAAGUUUGCUUUCCCCAGACCGAAGACCCAAGAAAUCAGUUGAAUCCGGCCACACAAUUAUCUACCUCUCCGUGAUUCUUGGUUUUCCAGUCUGGGGGAACCGGAAUCUUGCUUUAACCACGAAUCACGGGAGGUGAAUAAUUUUGUGGCCGGAUUCAACUGACUUCUUGGUUUUUCGGUCUGGGAGAAGAGAAAUUGUACCACUCGGGGGGGAAGUGCAAUGUUACCUUCUGUCCGGAUUUUUGUCAAAUCUGACGGCCACGACUAUUGUUGAAAAAUUGAAAGUUUUCUACAGCUAAAAUUACUUUUCACAGAUUAGAUACGCACGCGAACCAACAGCGAACAGAACGUGUUCCCGGAUUUCGCCUACCGGAAGUAUCCGUGCGCCCAGACCUGGAGAAGAAAACAUUUGAGAAUCGAGGACAAGCAACUUGGAAAGUCCGGAGAGGAGGAUCAAAACCAGCUCCCGGAAAGCCGCUCGCGGCAUUAGAUCUGGCUCCGUAAGCCGCUGCUGAUCCGACAAUCGUGCCAGCUCGGGAAUGCCCGAGAAGCUGCUGGUGGAUCUGGACGGCAUCGACUACAACAAGGGCAACCUUUCUGCGGCGUAAGUCGCUUCACUCUGGUCAAGCUUCAAUAAUUCAUAUCCAUUUUAAAACAAAGCCAACGUGACCGCUUAGGUCGGCGACGCGGUGAUCUUUUGCAUCGAGCACGCCGACGCGGCCGAGGAGAUUUGCGAGUGGUUCGCCGAGUCGCUGUCGAACAACGAAAACCAUGCUCAAGCGGAAGAUCGCCCGCAUCUACCUGAUCUCGGACACUGCACAGCUGCAGUGGCAAGGUAUCGAACGUGAGCUUCUUCCGGAAGGCCGUGGAGGAGAAUCUGCUGGGCAUCUUCAAGAAUCUCUUCGCCUACCACAUGCAGUUGGACAGCCGUCUCAAAGCCGAGGGCUUCAAGUCGCGCGUGAUGAACGUGUUCAAAGCGUGGGAGGAGUGGGCUACCCGAAGGAC